GCAAAUGUACCUUCAGUCAUAAGGUCAUUUCUGGGACAAGCUGAAUAGAAAGUUACUGUAACCAUGCCAUUCCUUUUGAAGGUGGAGUUCUUUGGCACAUCACUACUAACAUCUCCAAAGUUUACCCCAAGAGGAGUUGAGUCUACUACCACCGGUGUUAGUAAGCUUAUUUGUUUGUCCAGGAGAUCAGGGGGUUGUGGGCCAGGUUCAACAGGUUUACCAUUAACAAGAGCCUUUGCAAGCUUCUGGAACUCCUGAAUGUAGGCACUGAGUGUAUGUGGACCAAACAGUGUGGAUGCACCCUGUGUAGCACCACAUAGAUUAGAGAUUACAAUAACAAAGUGAACCUGUAUCCCCACAUUGUUUAAGAUAUAUCCAUCAUUGAAUGACAGUUAAUGAUGCUGACAGCACACUGAGUUGCACAUUGCUUAAAAAAGUAUACAGAGAAAUAAAGUUGGGGCACUUUCUAGUUUUGCUGCCAUGUAGUAAGAAAACUGAACUUGUACAGUACUGCAUAUGCAAUUGAAACAAAAAGGAUGUCAAAUUCCACAAAAAGUAUUAUCUUACUGAUUCAUGUCCUUCGGUAUCAGCAGUAUGAGAAGGAUUGCAAAAACUUAAAAAAGAGCAUUAGCGGGGGAGAACUAUGAUUUUAACUUCACUUUCUGAUUUGUAUAUAAAAAACUUAUAUCUGUUUACUUGAUAAAUUUAACUUGGUGUUUUUAGUCACUCUUAAGUCUAAAGUUAAAAAUUAUACUUAUUGCAUUCGUAAAUGCGUCCAUAUACACUACAUCUAUUCUAAAAAUUAAUGCUAUAUCUAGUUCUUAUAUAUGAGUCGUGUUCACAGGAAUGUCUGAAGUGUUUACAAGGACCAAAAUGAACAUGACUUGCUUAAUUGCAUAUUUGGCCCCUGAUUAUGCUAACAAGAAGUGACUUUUAGAGUAUAGUAAUUGAUGAAUUCUCAUAUUGGAUAAAAAUAUAUGCUAGAACUACAAGGCCCUGUAUCUUAGUGAGAACUGUGCUCAUUAACUGACCUCGUAUCUCUGUAUCUGGUACUCCUCAAAGGUAGUCACGUAUUGGGAAUAUGUAUUUGUCAGGCCAGCUAUCACAAUGUGAACAUUGCUGUUAAAUUGUUUAUUUCCUCCACUUGUAAGCACUGUUUUUACAGCAUCACGGAGACGUCUUCCAGCCAUGGUCGUGAACUCUGUCAUGAAACCAAAAAAAAUAAAAAAAAAUGUAACGUAUAUACCAAGUAAUGGGUUUUAAUCUUCACUUAAAACCCUACGCAAACCUCAACACUCAAAAUACAAAAUCAGAAUAUAACAAGUAACAUAAAGGUCAUGGCUGGAUACAAAGAUGUGUAGUGCACAUGAAAUAACUAAUAAGAUUUAACAUUAUUAGGUUUUUCCUGGCACGUCCUCGGGUAAAUGGGUUUAACUAAUGCUGUUCAAUGAUUCUCAUGGCAUAAAGUUAUCAUUAUACAUUAUAGAUGAAACUAUAAAACACACAAGUGCCAAUUUGUAUCUCUUUCCAUUUAACAUGAAAAUAACAGUAAGUGUGUAUUUUUAUUCUUCUUUUGGGGUAUUGCCGGGAAGGAGGCAUGGGUAAUGGAGCUUUAUAGACUGCAGAGUACUUAAAUGGCAGAGGAAAUAUGUAAUUGCAAGAUAAGGGUAGAAGUAUGUCGAGAAUCAGGGAGUAUCCAAAUGAUGGCAAAGGCCCCUCUAGUGCUAUAAGAGGUCAAGAGUCUGAUUCUCAUCCCCCUUAUAGGGCCAUGCUUAAAAAUAUAUCAAUAUUAAAAAAAGUUAUUGAACUUUUCACCUAUUCAAAUAAAAAGUGAACAUGUCACUAUUCAAGGAAAAGUGAACAUUUCUUGCUACAAUAUAUAGAAGCUCUGCAAGACAUUAGGGUCGAGCACUUGAAGCCAAAAAAUAUACAUUCUCCUUCUAUUAACUGUUCUUUAUUUUCAAAGUGUUAAGGUGAUAUAACCUAAUUGACAAUAGGCAUACAACCCGAUACCUGGAGGAUUGAAACUAAAUUCCUACCAAAUUUGCAUACAAAGUAGCAGUCAUGGUAAAAAUCUUGGUAAUAGCGUUCAGAACUCUAGGGUUUAGAUGAUCAGCUAAUCAGAAACAUUGAAAAUUUGUGGUGUUGUCCUCGUAGAAAUCUUUUUAUUUUGCUAAGAAAUUUUUUAACAAUAACAUCUAGUGUAGCUGGUUGGUUUGACUGCACUGUAUUCAGAGUUGUGGUAUCUGCAACAUGUUUAAUAAAAAAACCCGGGAUAAUGUUAGUACAAGAAUUGAGCUUGACCAUACCUUGAUAACCAGAUCAACAUUCAACACUUAAAGAUGAUGACUCAUCUUAAACCAACCUCUUGUUGAGAAACACAAGAAAGACACGCAUACUACAUAUUUUUAUAACUUCUUGUUGGUUUAUAAUUCAAGCAUUCAAACAUUCAAGACAUAGCGGGGCAGUUUUACGAGGUAAGUAAGAAAUUAAGAACACAGGUUAUGUCAGUGAAGUAUUAAGAAUAAGAACAAUAAAAGACAGCAAACAAGCAGAGCUACUACCUCCAGGUACACUGAGAAUGACCAAUUGCCCUAUCCUUAUCAUCUGAAUUGGGAGAAUUGAUGGCUGCAAUGUAACAAAACUAGCAAUGUCAGAUAAUUACAAAAGGAAUGAGCAAAUUUGUUACAGUUUGCUAGGAAUGACACAUUUUCCUGUCUACACAAAACAUGGCCCCCUUUCAGGCAAAUCAAAUUCAGUCCUGGGGGCAUGACAAUAGAAGACACAGAUGAAAGGGACAGAAAGAGAAGGCAGAAGUCAUAACACUGUAACAAACAACUUAGAUAACCCUAUCAGCAUACAUAGAAUCAGAUUCCAAAAUUUUCUAGAAAUAAGAAAAUUACAGAGAAUGAGCUUCUGAGCUCAGAACCUGGAAACUCCAGAUUUUCAUAGUAAAUUCAAGAGCAGAGAAGACAUAAGAAGCAAAUAACUCUAACGAUUCACUUUCAAUUUUAUUUACAAUUUAACACCAAUUAUUUCAUAUAAAAAAAAUCCUUAAAGUUGGAACUUACAGCCCAGUCAUAUGGUUGCUUCAUUUCACCAGUAUCAAGUAAGAUAGGCUUUGGUUGGUGACAAUCAACUUGUUCGUUUGAUGGUUCUUUAAGCAAGUUCCGAACCAAUCUCCAAAAUGCAUUCCCCUAAAGGACAUGUUGAGCUAGAAUAAGAACGAGAUGACAAAGUUUUGCGGCUUUUGCCGCAUAAAGCCACAUAUAGCCACAUAAUGAUCUAUUGCAUAUCCAUGAUCCACUUUACCUGGUCAUCUCCUUGCUUAAAAUCAAAGGCUCCAGGUCCAUCGGUUGUACCAGCAGCAAAUGCAAAGCCCAUGGCGGCAGGACACGUUUUAACCACCUGAUUUGUGCCAUCUUGAUUGUGAAGGGUUACCUCAAGAUUUGAGAAGUUCAGAUAAGCAUGCCGAUAAUCAACCUUGCCUUUCAACUGCUCUGAUGCGCUGCUAAAAAGAUCCACAGCUUUUCUAAAUUGUCUGUCUCCAAUAAUACGUGUACUCUCAAAUUCAUCAGG
rnacentral:lncRNA from 1 species